AUGAUAGGAUCAGUAGCUUUGGGCCACUUGUUUUGGCCAUUCAGAUGGGUCAUAAAACAAGGUUUCAUAGCCUCGAUAAAGCCUACAACAUCUGCACCAUCUGCAGUAGAGUUCUACAAAGAUUUUAAGAAAUUUAAGAUACAUUAUGAAACUACCGGUCCAGAGACAUGGAAAGGCACAAAUAAGAAAGUUGAAGCAUUUGUUUAUGGGGUGGGUACAGCUGAUUGGCGUGGAAGAAUCAUAGAUGAAUUAAGGACCUGCAAGUGA